ensembl:rRNA 5S_rRNA 5S ribosomal RNA
GUCUGUUAUCAUACCACCCUGAAUGCGUCCAAUCUCAUCUAAUCUCAGAAGCUAAGUAGGGUCAGGCCUGGUUAAUACUUGAAUGGGAGUAAUGAGGAAAUAAGAGGUGAUUGGAGAUA